UGUAAAAAGGGGUCGCACAGCAUAUAAGGUUGAGAACCGCUGGCUUAGAGGAUCACAGGCAUUGGACAAAUUCUAGAAUGGAAGUUUCAUACUUUAUCGUUUUGUGUAGUGUCUAGAGCAGCCCUCAAUUCCUCUAAGGUAAGGAGGGGUGUCUGUCGUUUUGUGUAGUGUCUAGGGCAGCCCUCAAUUCCUCUAAGGUAAGGAGGGGUGUCUGUCGUUUUGUGUAGUGUCUAGGGCAGCCCUCAAUUCCUCUAAGGUAAGGAGGGGUGUCUGUCGUUUUGUGUAGUGUCUAGGGCAGCCCUCAAUUCCUCUAAGUUAAAGAGUCUGUCUGUAAUUAAUUUUUCUAACGUCGUUAUUGUCUUACAGUUUUCUAUGAUUUUUUUUUGUACGCCUAUGUCUGUCAGGGUUAGGGGUCAGUCAGUUCUUUGUUAUACAAUUUUUUGAAGUGUUCCGUCAUUAUUUCCAACGAAAUUUGUCUUUCAUGGUUUUAUUGUCUUGUCCUUUUUAUUAGGGUAUCGAGGGGGUAUCUAGGAGUUGGUUUUCCGUGCUGCGCCUCAGUAAACACAAUUCUGCCCGAGUCGGGUGUCGAACCUCGAGCCCCCUUCUAGCCAAGUUCAAGCGCACUUAGCCUCUCGACCACGCUUCCCUGUUCUAUCGCUAAGAACACUUUACUAGGCUCUUCCGCUAUUCUAGUUUUUUUUACACCGUGUCUCGGCCACUUUAUAUUUGUACAUUCCGAUUGUUUAUUUGAGCCUUUUUCUAUUUCAUCCUGUGAAACUUGUAAUAAAUCUUUUAGUCUCUCCUCUUCUUGGCGUCUUGUUUCACUGUUGGAUGCAGCCAGGAUUUUAAUUUGUUGCUUUAGUGACUUUUUCAUAAUAGGCCAGAUUUGGAUCAAGUGACACUCUCCUUGGCUAAUUCCUCCUAUAGACUCGCGCAUUCUUUUAAUUGAUUCCACUAUCAAUGAAUCCUGAAGAAGGCUAUUAUUUAACUUCCAAUGUGUGUCCGUCUGUUUUUUGCCACCUUUAUUUCCUCCUAGCCUUAAUAGCACUCCUCUGUGAUCCGUGUAGUCUAGCGUCUCUUGGAUGUGUGUAACUCCAAAUAAUUUACAAGUUACUGGUGUGUAGAGUCUGUCUAUUCUUGUCUCCACCGGGUAUGAGCUAUGUUUUAGAGUAGUUUCCCUUCCCUCUGGCCGUACCGCUCUAUAGGCGUCCACCAAGCGGAAGGUUCCUUUGAGUCUCUUAAGAAAUCAGUUUUUUGUGUGUACUAGCGUGACCUCCGUCGAAGGCGCCGGUACUAGCCCCGUGCCACUUUCGCCUUUUUUGGGAGGAGAAAGGGUACCCCUCCCACUGUCUAUACGUUUUUCAGGUGUUGUACUUUUUUU
rnacentral:sRNA from 1 species